rnacentral:rRNA from 1 species
UACGUAGGGUGCGAGCGUUAAUCGGAAUUACUGGGCGUAAAGCGUGCGCAGGCGGUUAUGUAAGACAGUUGUGAAAUCCCCGGGCUCAACCUGGGAACUGCAUCUGUGACUGCAUUGCUGGAGUGCGGCAGAGGGGGAUGGAAUUCCGCGUGUAGCAGUGAAAUGCGUAGGUAUGCGGAGGAACACCGAUGGCGAAGGCAAUCCCCUGGGCCUGCACUGACGCUCAUGCACGAAAGCGUGGGGAGCAAACAGG